UGGGGAUUAUGACGUAAUGUUAAUCUUUUGAAGUGGUCUUCGAGUGUACUUGAGAGGUAGAAUAUCCUUUUGAAGUGGUUUUCAAUGGCACUUGAAAGGCAAAGUGUCCUUUUAAAAGAUGUUUAAUUAAAAAUAAAGAUGGCGGAUAUUUGCAUAAUUAAAAAUAAAGAUGGCGGCUAGUUCCGUAAUGAAAAACAAAGAUGGCGGAUAGUUUACCUGGCAACCAAUGGGGAGAGUGAUGCAUGAAUGAGUGAUUAUAGGCAGUAUGUGUGUGUAUUGAAAUGUUUUCUCAAUAAACAUUAUUAUUAUUAUUAUAAACGGGUCAGUUUUUACUGACCACCAUUAAAUUCGAAAUGGCUACCGCCGACAGCGUGUCUAUAUCUUUGAGCAAGACUGGAGAAAUUUCACCAGAACGCGAACCUUUUAAAAUCUGUGAGGAAAGUGAGCUUCAGGGCGGCCGGGCGGUCUCUAGCGACUGCGUGGUUUGCGGCAAUAGGCUGCCUAAGAACCGCGUUACUUUCAUCGCUCAAAUAGUCGCCAUAUACGGAAUAAUAAUCGUGUCUGCGGUCAAUCUUUCGAUCAAUUCCGGGUCAAAUCAAGAACUCUGGAUUGCUCUACUCAGCUCGGCCGUCGGCUACGUGCUGCCGAGUCCCGGACUUAAGUACAGAAAAGCCAAAGCGACAUUCGGACCAACCCUUAGGGAUGAGGGACAGUAAUGGCGGAACUGAAACCAAGUUCGAGUAUCUCGGUAGAUCGAGAAGGCAGACUCAAAAUAAGCAGAAAAGAAAUAGUUUCAUUCCCGGAGUCUCAGGACACGUACAGUACCAACAGACCGGUUCACAUAUUGCUCAGCAGCCGGUCUAAACAUUCAUUUAUUCAACACUAAUGAUAAGUCAGCUUUACCUUUUUGAUUCUGAAAAGAGAUAUUUUGACGCUUAUUCUAACUGGAUUGUACGAAAACGAGCAUGUUUUAAUAGCCUUUAUGAAUCUUUUUAAAUUGAAUUAAAGAUGGCGGUUAGCCAUUCGAGUUAUUUUUAAAUAAGAUAAAAAAAAUGGCGUCUUAUUGGAGGGAGAUUCCUUUGGGGUUUAUCAAGUAUGUAUCGAAAUAUAUCUCGAUACUCAAAAUAGGCGGCAGAAUGUCUGUCAUUAUAAUAAUAACAACGGUUAUUAUUAUUAUGAUUAUGAUGAAGAUUAUUAUUAUCAUUAUUAUGAGAUAAAGUAAUUGCUGGAAGCCGUUGCUCGGGUAGCGGCUCAAUGCUAGUCAUUUUUUGAUGACGUGUUACCCAUUAGCGGAGAAAAAAAGCAAUUAAAAAUGACCUAGAUUUCACUGAACACGACUUGUUCAGGCAUUUUGCCAGAAUGUCGUGUCGACGCUUUACCAUUGACGAGAGAGCAGAAAAACAGGAUUGCCAGUCGAUAGAGACCUCUUUUUCAUUUCAUCAAAUUAUUUCUUAAAAUAGUAUACUACCGCGCAAUUUUGAUGUUAGAAUACAAUGCCGUGACAGUAACUGGAAAAACAUCGUAUUAUUUCCCCUCACUAAUUCUGUAUUGUUAAUGUGGCAGCUAUUCUUACUUUUGAUUCAAGUGUACCAAGUGAGUAAAAAUAUUGUGUUGUUACAUAGUUAACAGUCUAUUUUAUCAGUAAAAAUCUGAAAUUUAAAAACCUAUAGAAAGAGUGUCCCAGUGAAGUAUAAGUUCGGGGUAAUAAAAUAAA